UGGGAAUAUUGCACAAUGGCGAAAGCCUGAUGCAGCGACGCCGCGUGAGGGAUGACGGCCUUCGGGUUGUAAACCUCUUCGCAGGGAAGAAGCGAAAGUGACGGUACCUGCAGAAGAAGCGCCGGCUAACUACGUGCCAGCAGCCGCGGUAAUACGUAGGGCGCAAGCGUUGUCCGGAAUUAUUGGGCGUAAAGAGCUCGUAGGCGGUUAGUCGCGUCUGCUGUGAAAACUCGAGGCUCAACCUCGGGCUUGCAGUGGGUACGGGCUGACUAGAGUGCGGUAGGGGUGACUGGAAUUCCUGGUGUAGCGGUGGAAUGCGCAGAUAUCAGGAGGAACACCGAUGGCGAAGGCAGGUCACUGGGCCGCAACUGACGCUGAGGAGCGAAAGCAUGGGGAGCGAACAGGAUUAGAUAGCCCCUGGUAGUCCAUGCCGUAAACGUUGGGCACUAGGUGUGGGGUCCA
rnacentral:rRNA from 1 species